AUCUCAAGCAUGGGACUUCUUCUCAGAUUCGUCUACUGAGAUAAACAACUAUGUUCUUGGAGCUGGUGUUGAUGGUCUUGUUACAGAAUACCCUGGGACAGCGGCUAGAUACCGAAGGAACCGUUGUUUAGCAUACAAAAACUUGCCACCAUAUAUGAGCCCUGUUCAACCUGGGAGUCUCCUGGGACUCAUGACUGUUCAGUCUAUGCCACCAGUCGAACCUCCCAGCCCCGUGCUCGAUGUAAGUGAUGUGACUGAGCCACCACUUCCACCUGUUGCAAAGAUAAACCCAAGUAACGACGAUGGUUCUACAGCUAGAGCUCCCACUACUCCUCCAAAUGGCCAAUCCUCAGUUGUUGCUAGCAUUCUCAUGAGCUCAGUCGCAGUUCUUCUAGCAAUUUUCAUGGUAUAUUGAUGACCAUUUCUACUUUGGUGCCACCAUUUUGUACAAUUUGUUUUGCCAUCUUACUGAUCAAACCUCCCUCUGGUGAUUAUGGAGUCGCACAUGAUGGCGGCGGUAGUCAGCUCAUUUAACACAUGAUUGUUUCCUUGUAUUUGCGAUGUAUCAAAAUUUUCAGCUCUUGUUUAUUCUUUACAUUCUUCCUCGUUUCUAUUUUUCAUUCCUUCCCUCCCCUUUUUUUUUCCAUUUUGGGUCAGAUUGAGUGGGUGUCUGGGGUUUAUUGCCUAUUUAUUUGUAAGAAUUCUGUUUUGGAUAUAAGCAAUGAUCAAUUUAGUUAGUAUUUUUCAUACACAGCCUUUUUAUAUUCUAUUCAUGUAAUAUA
rnacentral:misc_RNA from 1 species